UACGGGGGGGGCAAGCGUUGUUCGGAAUUACUGGGCGUAAAGGGCUCGUAGGCGGCCAACUAAGUCAGACGUGAAAUCCCUCGGCUUAACCGGGGAACUGCAUCUGAUACUGGAUGGCUGGAGAUUGGGAGAGGGAUGCGGAAUUCCAGGUGUAGCGGUGAAAUGCGUAGAUAUCUGGAGGAACACCGGUGGCGAAGGCGGCAUUCUGGACCGAAACUGACGCUGAGGCGCGAAAGCCAGGGGAGCAAACGGG
rnacentral:rRNA from 1 species